rnacentral:rRNA from 1 species
GCCAGCAGCCGCGGUAAUACGGAGGGGGCAAGCGUUGUUCGGAAUUACUGGGCGUAAAGCGCGCGUAGGCGGCGAUGAUAGUCAGAGGUGAAAUGCCCGGGCUCAACCCGGGAGGUGCCUUUGAUACUUCAUUGCUAGGAUUCAGGAGAGGUGAGCGGAAUUCCGAGUGUAGAGGUGAAAUUCGUAGAUAUUGGGAAGAACACCAGUGGCGAAGGCGGCUCACUGGUCCG